GGUGGAUCUGGAUGAGAUCAAAUCUCAUCCAAUAAGGAAGUUCAAAUCAAAUUAAAAACUUACCUUAUCUAUAUCCUAACAUGGGGUGUGUGGAAGACGGAUGAGACUACUUUUAGCAUGGAGAAACUCACACCAAAAAUAAGAUGGUGCAAAAAUAAGGGCAGCUUCAUAUGAGCGUGCACACAAUGGAGAAGGGAGAG
rnacentral:lncRNA from 1 species